rnacentral:rRNA from 1 species
UACGGGGGGGGCAAGCGUUGUUCGGAAUUACUGGGCGUAAAGGGCGCGUAGGCGGCCUGCUAAGUCAGAUGUGAAAUCCCUCGGCUCAACCGAGGAACUGCAUCCGAUACUGGCGGGCUUGAAUCCGGGAGAGGGAUGUGGAAUUCCAGGUGUAGCGGUGAAAUGCGUAGAUAUCUGGAGGAACACCGGUGGCGAAGGCGGCAUCCUGGACCGGUAUUGACGCUGAGGCGCGAAAGCUAGGGGAGCAAACGGG